rnacentral:rRNA from 1 species
UACGUAGGGUGCGAGCGUUAAUCGGAAUUACUGGGCGUAAAGUGUGCGCAGGCUGCCGAGCAAGUCGAGUGUGAAAGCCCCGGGCUUAACCUGGGAACUGCGCUCGAAACUACUUGGCUGGAGUGUGGCAGAGGGAGGUGGAAUUCCACGUGUAGCGGUGAAAUGCGUAGAGAUGUGGAGGAACACCGAUGGCGAAGGCAGCCUCCUGGGCCAACACUGACGCUCAUGCACGAAAGCGUGGGGAGCAAACAGG